rnacentral:rRNA from 1 species
UUAAGCGACUAAGCGUACACGGUGGAUGCCCUGGCAGUCAGAGGCGAUGAAGGACGUGCUAAUCUGCGAUAAGCGUCGGUAAGGUGAUAUGAACCGUUAUAACCGGCGAUUUCCGAAUGGGGAAACCCAGUGUGUUUCGACACACUAUCAUUAACUGAAUCCAUAGGUUAAUGAGGCGAACCGGGGGAACUGAAACAUCUAAGUACCCCGAGGAAAAGAAAUCAACCGAGAUUCCCCCAGUAGCGGCGAGCGAACGGGGAGCAGCCCAGAGCCUGAAUCAGUGUGUGUGUUAGUGGAAGCGUCUGGAAAGGCGCGCGAUACAGGGUGACAGCCCCGUACACAAAAAUGCACAUGCUGUGAGCUCGAUGAGUAGGGCGGGACACGUGGUAUCCUGUCUGAAUAUGGGGGGACCAUCCUCCAAGGCUAAAUACUCCUGACUGACCGAUAGUGAACCAGUACCGUGAGGGAAAGGCGAAAAGAACCCCGGCGAGGGGAGUGAAAAAGAACCUGAAACCGUGUACGUACAAGCAGUGGGAGCACGCUUAGGCGUGUGACUGCGUACCUUUUGUAUAAUGGGUCAGCGACUUAUAUUCUGUAGCAAGGUUAACCGAAUAGGGGAGCCGAAGGGAAACCGAGUCUUAACUGGGCGUUAAGUUGCAGGGUAUAGACCCGAAACCCGGUGAUCUAGCCAUGGGCAGGUUGAAGGUUGGGUAACACUAACUGGAGGACCGAACCGACUAAUGUUGAAAAAUUAGCGGAUGACUUGUGGCUGGGGGUGAAAGGCCAAUCAAACCGGGAGAUAGCUGGUUCUCCCCGAAAGCUAUUUAGGUAGCGCCUCGUGAAUUCAUCUCCGGGGGUAGAGCACUGUUUCGGCAAGGGGGUCAUCCCGACUUACCAACCCGAUGCAAACUGCGAAUACCGGAGAAUGUUAUCACGGGAGACACACGGCGGGUGCUAACGUCCGUCGUGAAGAGGGAAACAACCCAGACCGCCAGCUAAGGUCCCAAAGUCAUGGUUAAGUGGGAAACGAUGUGGGAAGGCCCAGACAGCCAGGAUGUUGGCUUAGAAGCAGCCAUCAUUUAAAGAAAGCGUAAUAGCUCACUGGUCGAGUCGGCCUGCGCGGAAGAUGUAACGGGGCUAAACCAUGCACCGAAGCUGCGGCAGCGACACUAUGUGUUGUUGGGUAGGGGAGCGUUCUGUAAGCCUGUGAAGGUGUGCUGUGAGGCAUGCUGGAGGUAUCAGAAGUGCGAAUGCUGACAUAAGUAACGAUAAAGCGGGUGAAAAGCCCGCUCGCCGGAAGACCAAGGGUUCCUGUCCAACGUUAAUCGGGGCAGGGUGAGUCGACCCCUAAGGCGAGGCCGAAAGGCGUAGUCGAUGGGAAACAGGUUAAUAUUCCUGUACUUGGUGUUACUGCGAAGGGGGGACGGAGAAGGCUAUGUUGGCCGGGCGACGGUUGUCCCGGUUUAAGCGUGUAGGCUGGUUUUCCAGGCAAAUCCGGAAAAUCAAGGCUGAGGCGUGAUGACGAGGCACUACGGUGCUGAAGCAACAAAUGCCCUGCUUCCAGGAAAAGCCUCUAAGCAUCAGGUAACAUCAAAUCGUACCCCAAACCGACACAGGUGGUCAGGUAGAGAAUACCAAGGCGCUUGAGAGAACUCGGGUGAAGGAACUAGGCAAAAUGGUGCCGUAACUUCGGGAGAAGGCACGCUGAUAUGUAGGUGAAGUCCCUCGCGGAUGGAGCUGAAAUCAGUCGAAGAUACCAGCUGGCUGCAACUGUUUAUUAAAAACACAGCACUGUGCAAACACGAAAGUGGACGUAUACGGUGUGACGCCUGCCCGGUGCCGGAAGGUUAAUUGAUAGGGUUAGCCGCAAGGCGAAGCUCUUGAUCGAAGCCCCGGUAAACGGCGGCCGUAACUAUAACGGUCCUAAGGUAGCGAAAUUCCUUGUCGGGUAAGUUCCGACCUGCACGAAUGGCGUAAUGAUGGCCAGGCUGUCUCCACCCGAGACUCAGUGAAAUUGAACUCGCUGUGAAGAUGCAGUGUACCCGCGGCAAGACGGAAAGACCCCGUGAACCUUUACUAUAGCUUGACACUGAACAUUGAGCCUUGAUGUGUAGGAUAGGUGGGAGGCUUAGAAGUGUGGACGCCAGUCUGCAUGGAGCCGACCUUGAAAUACCACCCUUUAAUGUUUGAUGUUCUAACGUUGACCCGUAAUCCGGGUUGCGGACAGUGUCUGGUGGGUAGUUUGACUGGGGCGGUCUCCUCCUAAAGAGUAACGGAGGAGCACGAAGGUUGGCUAAUCCUGGUCGGACAUCAGGAGGUUAGUGCAAUGGCAUAAGCCAGCUUGACUGCGAGCGUGACGGCGCGAGCAGGUGCGAAAGCAGGUCAUAGUGAUCCGGUGGUUCUGAAUGGAAGGGCCAUCGCUCAACGGAUAAAAGGUACUCCGGGGAUAACAGGCUGAUACCGCCCAAGAGUUCAUAUCGACGGCGGUGUUUGGCACCUCGAUGUCGGCUCAUCACAUCCUGGGGCUGAAGUAGGUCCCAAGGGUAUGGCUGUUCGCCAUUUAAAGUGGUACGCGAGCUGGGUUUAGAACGUCGUGAGACAGUUCGGUCCCUAUCUGCCGUGGGCGCUGGAGAACUGAGGGGGGCUGCUCCUAGUACGAGAGGACCGGAGUGGACGCAUCACUGGUGUUCGGGUUGUCAUGCCAAUGGCACUGCCCGGUAGCUAAAUGCGGAAGAGAUAAGUGCUGAAAGCAUCUAAGCACGAAACUUGCCCCGAGAUGAGUUCUCCCUGACUCCUUGAGAGUCCUGAAGGAACGUUGAAGACGACGACGUUGAUAGGCCGGGUGUGUAAGCGCAGCGAUGCGUUGAGCUAACCGGUACUAAUGAACCGUGAGGCUUAACCUU